rnacentral:rRNA from 1 species
UUUUAGCGGCGGACGGGUGAGUAACGCGUGAGCAACCUUUCCUUCACAGGGGAAUAACGUACCGAAAGGUACACUAAUACCGCAUAAGGCCACAGCACCGCAUGGUGCAGGGGUGAAAGGAGCAAUCCGGUGAAGGGUGGGCUCGCGUCCGAUUAGCUAGUUGGUGAGGUGACGGCCCACCAAGGCGACGAUCGGUAGCCGACCUGAGAGGGUGAUCGGCCACAUUGGAACUGAGAUACGGUCCAAACUCC